GGGCGGGUAGCUCAGUGGUAGAGCACGCGCCUGAAAAGCGCGGUGUCGUUGGUUCAAUCCCGACCCUGCCCACCA
rnacentral:tRNA from 2 species